GCCCCAGUCGUGAGGUGACUUGGUGACAGAACGUUAAGCCCCAGUGGUGAGGUGAGGUGACUAGGUGACAGAACGUUAAGCCCCAGUGGUGAGGUGAGGUGACUAGGUGACAGAACGUUAAGCCCCAGUGUUGAGGUGACUUGGUGACAGAACGUUAAGCUCCAGUGUUGAGGUGACUUGGUGACAGAACGUUAAGCCCCAGUGUUGAGGUGACUUGGUGACAGAACGUUAAGCCCCAGUGUUGAGGUGAC